CCUACGGGAGGCAGCAGUGGGGAAUCUUGCGCAAUGGGCGAAAGCCUGACGCAGCAACGCCGCGUGCGGGAAGAAGGCUUUCGGGCUGUAAACCGCUUUCAGCAGGAACGAAAAUGACGGUACCUGCAGAAGAAGGAGCGGCCAACUAUGUGCCAGCAGCCGCGGUGAUACAUAGGCUUCAAGCGUUGUCCGGAUUUAUUGGGCGUAAAGAGUUCGUAGGCGGUCAAGUAAGUCGGGUGUGAAAAUUCUGGGCUCAACCCAGAGACGCCACCCGAUACUGCUUAACUUGAGUUCGAUAGGGGAGUGGGGAAUUCCUAGUGUAGCGGUGAAAUGCGCAGAUAUUAGGAGGAACACCGGUGGCGAAGGCGCCACUCUGGAUCGAUACUGACGCUGAGGAACGAAAGCAUGGGUAGCAAACAGGAUUAGAUACCCUGGUAGUCCAUGCCGUAAACGGUGGGCACUAGGUGUGGGUUUCUAUUAACGAAAUCCGCGCCGUCGCUAACGCAUUAAGUGCCCCGCUGGGGAUACGGUCGCAAGACUAAAACUCAAAUGAAUUGACGGCUGAGACGNGCGAGACGACGACGAGGAGAG
rnacentral:rRNA from 1 species